rnacentral:rRNA from 1 species
CCUACGGGAGGCAGCAGUGGGGAAUAUUGGUCAAUGGGCGCAAGCCUGAACCAGCAAAGUAGCGUGAAGGAAGAAGGCUCUCGGGGUUGAAACCUCUUUUUACAGGGAAGUGAAGAGGAGGGUAUCUGACGAAUAAGCUACGGCUAACUACGUGCGAGCAGCCGCGGUAAUACGUAGGGGGCAAGCGUUGUCCGGAUUUAGUGGGUGUAAAGGGUGUGUAGCCGGGUUGAGAAGUCAGCUGUGAAAUGCUGCGGCUUAAUCGUAGAACUGCAUUUGACACUGGUAUCCUUGAGUACAGGAGAGGUAGGUGGAAUUCCUGGUGUAGCGGUGAAAUGCGUAGAUAUCAGGAAGAACACCGGUGGCGAAGGCGGUCUGCUGGACUGCAACUGACGGUGAGGCGCGAAAGUGUGGGGAGCAAACAGGAUUAGAUACCCCAGUAGUC